CACGCCCUAAACGAUGCCAACUAGGUGUUGGGGAAGGAGACUUCCUUAGUACCGUAGCUAACGCGUGAAGUUGGCCGCCUGGGGAGUACGGUCGCAAGAUUAAAACUCAAAGGAAUUGACGGGGACCCGCACAAGCGGUGGAUGAUGUGGAUUAAUUCGAUGCAACGCGAAAAACCUUACCUACCCUUGACAUGCCAGGAACUUGCCAGAGAUGGCUUGGUGCUCGAAAGAGAGCCUGGACACAGGUGC
rnacentral:rRNA from 1 species